AAAAGCCCCAGUUCCUUCAGAACACUGCGGGGCGGCGUCUUUUUGUCAGCCGCAGUGAUUCUGGUUGGGAAGUAACCUCUUAGCUAAGUUUCACUUCAACAAUUGUAAUAGUUGUUUUCUCGUUCAAAAUGUAUUAUUCCAUGUGCUUGAGAGCAGGCUGUAGAGUUUACCCUUUUUUUUAAUUUUCAGCCGUUAAAAGUAGCUUGUUUUUCACGGUGUGCCUUGUUUAGGUAGGGUUUAUCAGAAAGUUACAGUCUGACUUCAUCAGAGUUAAUGAUGCCAGAUCAGCUUUUCUUAUAAGUGGGCUUGAGAAUGCGAUGUUAGCUCGGGUUCUCUUAUUUUCAGCUGUAGGUUUUUGAACGUUUAUCUAAUCUCCCGUGGGAAACCAGCUAUUGCAUAUUUCUCUCGUUAUGCUGAAGCAGCAGGAAUUUUUAAGCGAUCUGGGCAGACACCAAGUCAACACAACACCCUUAUGUGUGAAGACAGGUGCAGAUACAGGCUUGGAUUGUGCAAUGGGGGGAAAACAAUCUUAAAUGAGCCUUAAUAUCGAAAAUUUAGAGAGGCUGUUCUGUGGUUAUGAAACCAUAGCUUAGAAAUGUCCACCCACGCUCAAAAAGUAAUUGAACACAAAUCUCAAAUGACAGAUGAGCAGGAGAAGGCUUCUCUUUAGGAGGGCUGAAUUUAGUUGCUGUUGAAUUCUUUUAAUAUGUGCAGAGGUAUGAAUAUAUCUUUAUUGCUCAAAAAUUAUUAUUAUAGGACUAAAGUUGCCUGGUGAUAUUUUGUUAUUAUAAUACACAACUUGGAAAAACAGCAACUUUCUGUGGAGAACAUUUACAUGCAUGAAGGCUCAGGCACGUGCCCAAAUUAUUGCAUGUCAGCACAGCUGCAUUGUUUAAACAUGUGGCAAACACAUAUAUAGACAUGUUAUCUGAGGUUAAAAUAGUUUAAUUUUAUGGUGGUUUACAAUAGGCUUAGUGAUUUUCUGUGGCUCGGCUAACCCUUCGUAACUUGUUGAAACAAAGUAAGCUUAGUUACAUAGCUGAGGCACUGAUGUUUCUUUUCCAGAAUGGCUAAUGUAGAACAGAAGUCCUUCUUAGCAAAGACAAAGCACUAUACAGUCUGUCUUAUGAUGCCAUAUAACUUCUCCUCAAAAUGUUCCUGAAUAUUUUUGCAAGGAUAGAAUGUAAUAUUCUAUGUCUUGGACUGCCACUCAAAGUGGCUUGUGUUGCCAAGUAUUUCUUGGCUUUCAGCUCUUUCUGUAUUUAUGAACUUGAGGUUGCACCUUGAUUCAAACUCAGUUAAGAUACUGAGAGAUACUCCUUUACCUCAGUCUCCUCUUCCCCCCUAGGAAACUACUCCUCACCUAUGUACAUGAACACUGAGUAGGGCUGACAAACUUCCUUUCCCCUUUAAAAAUUAUUCUCUCUCCUGGUCUGACUUUUCUCACACUUUUUCUCUUUGGUGGUAUCUUUGCUUAUCUAUUGAGUUUCUAUAAACUGCCCCAUAUACCUUUCACUGCUUUGCUUUCUACUUCUACAUUGAUUUGUUAUUUAGCCAAAUAUAAGUCAAAGGUGUACCUGUUAAAAUAUUAAGACAAAUUGACAAAUGCAGACAACAGCUAUUUUCCUCAAGAGUCUCAAAUUGCUUCCAGCAUCUGGGUUCAGAUUUGAAAGGGAGAAUGUGAUGAAAGAAAACCAAGAUCUCUCUGAAAUUAUUUUUCCAAACACUGGCAUUCCUUUGUAUGGGAGGAGACAGCACUUCGGCUAAAAUGGAAAAAUAGUGCUGUCAAGUUGGCUGUUUAGCUAUUCAAUGACUAUAAUCUUAAACACACAAUGACAUAUCAGAAGUUUCAUUGUCAAGAUACCCUCUGAAAAUUCCAGUGAUUUCAAGUGUUAUCUAAAUGGCAGGAGUUACAUGAAGUGCUGCUGCUUGAACUGGU